rnacentral:rRNA from 1 species
AUGGCUGUCGUCAGCUCGUGUCGUGAGAUGUCGGGUUAAGUCCCUUAACGAGCGAAACCCUUAUCUUUAGUUGCCAGCGCGUAAUGGCGGGGACUCUAAAGAGACUGCCGGUGUUAAACCGGAGGAAGGUGGGGAUGACGUCAAGUCAUCAUGCCCCUUAUGUCCAGGGCUUCACGCAUGCUACAAUGGCUGGUACAGAGAGUGGCGAGCCUGUGAGGGUGAGCGAAUCUCGGAAAGCCGGUCUCAGUUCGGAUUGGGGUCUGCAACUCGACCUCAUGAAGUCGGAGUCGCUAGUAAUCGCAGAUCAGCAACGCUGCGGUGAAUACGUUCCCGGGGCUUGUACACACCGCCCGUGGGGCGGGGGCGGCGGGCCGGGCGCGGGGCGCGGCGGGCG